rnacentral:piRNA from 1 species
UGCCUUCUGUGUUGGAGAUUUGACUUAUGU